rnacentral:rRNA from 1 species
CAAUGGCGUAAACAAAGGGAGGCAAGCGAGUAAUCGUAAGCAAACCCCAAAAAUAACGUCUCAGUUCGGACUGUGGUCUGCAACUCGACCACACGAAGCUGGAAUCGCUAGUAAUCGCGAAUCAGCAUGUCGCGGUGAAUACGUUCCCGGGUCUUGUACACACCGCCCGUCACACCAUGGGAGUCGGUAACACCCGAAGUCGGUGGUCUAACCGCAAGGAGGGAGCUGCCGAAGGCAGGCCCGGUGACUGGGGUGAAGUCGUAACAAGGUAAC